AUUCAUUGGCACCUGCAACUCGCGGCGCUCGCGGACGCUUUGGAGAGAGUGGACGCGCUCUUCGUCACGAGCCAAUAGGAAAAGAGGGCACAGGGUGUUCUGACACGCGACGCUGUCUGCUGGACACAGACUUUUCAUCCAGUUACUAUUUUCAUAAGUUGCACUGUGGCCACCAAUUAGGCCUACAUAAACUGAUAUCCCCUGCAUGGAAUGAUAAAGUGAUAGCAAUGACAAAUUUGCUAUGUUCCUUCCUCAGAUCCGUGAUUUCGUCGACAGCGUUCAUGGAUUAUAAAAUCACAUCACACAUAUCCAGUGUAUAAGUUCUGAGUGUGGCAGUGGGGGCAUGGUCGAGCAUCAGCUUCGGAAAGAGAGGAGGCGAGUUGAACCAGCAGAUGCAGAGAACCUGAGAAACCAGCUUGGACCAGUAGAGAACAUGUGAAAAUCUGCACAGCCAGUAACCCGAGCUCAGGCUCGAGGCAGGGGCCCUGGAGCUGUGAGGCACCAGCACUACCUGCUGCACCACUUACUGUUCAGUACUCUCAGUUUUGAACACAGGCAUGAUAAAACUUACACACAAGCAGUCAAACUAUUUUUUUUUUUUAAUCUUGAGAACUAAACGAUCUGCAAGUAUCUGCUUAUGUUGCUUAUCAGGUAUACUGUAGCUGACUCUCGGUAGUAAUUGCAGUCAAUCUUAAUACAGUUGAUCCAUUAAAUGAAAGUGAAAUUAAGAGGGAACCAAAUAACAUGAGCAAACUGCAGUUACUUGAAGUAAAAAUGUGCUCUACUCUAGAUGUCAACGUGACGCAGAAACAGGAAGAAAGGGAAAAGAAAACAGCUUGAAUUUUAGCCACUGACAUCCUAACUACAUAAAUAUGAGUCAUGGCUUGAGUCACUCCACACUGUAUUGUCUCAUUGCUCUGUGUAAAAUUCUGUCACAAUUCAAGUGACUUAGACUAUCUAAUAAUGCAAUAUAUGCAUGUCAUGAUUGCAUAUGUAAAUUGAUUUCCUGUUCAGGAGCAAAUUAAAAUUU